GGGAUGCAACUCAGUGGUAGAGCAUCUGUUUUGUAUGUAGAAGGUUGCAGGUUCAAUCCCCAAUGGCACUCCA